rnacentral:rRNA from 1 species
UACGAAGGGGGCUAGCGUUGCUCGGAAUUACUGGGCGUAAAGGGCUCGUAGGUGGCCAACUAAGUCGGACGUGAAAUCCCUCAGCUUAACUGGGGAACUGCGUCCGAUACUGGAUGGCUUGAGUUUGGGAGAGGGAUGCGGAAUUCCAGGUGUAGCGGUGAAAUGCGUAGAUAUCUGGAGGAACACCGGUGGCGAAGGCGGCAUCCUGGACCAACACUGACACUGAGGAGCGAAAGCCAGGGGAGCAAACGGG